AAGACUAUACUUUCAGGGAUCAUUUCUAUAGUUUGUUACUAGAGAAGUUUCUCUGAACGUGUAGAGCACCGUCUGAUCUUUGACAAACCUGACAGA
rnacentral:snoRNA from 1 species